GCUCCGGUGGCCCAGUGGUAACUCUCCUGUCUACGGAAUGGGUGACCCAGGUUCGAUCCCCGCCAUUGGCGCC